rnacentral:rRNA from 1 species
GGAUGAACGCUGGCGGCGUGCCUACUCCAUGCAAGUCGAGCGAACAGACGAGGAGCUUGCUCCUCUGACGUUAGCGGCGGACGGGUGAGUAACACGUGGAUAACCUACCUAUAAGACUGGGAUAACUUCGGGAAACCGGAGCUAAUACCGGAUAAUAUAUUGAACCGCAUGGUUCAAUAGUGAAAGACGGUUUUGCUGUCACUUAUAGAUGGAUCCGCGCCGCAUUAGCUAGUUGGUAAGGUAACGGCUUACCAAGGCAACGAUGCGUAGCCGACCUGAGAGGGUGAUCGGCCACACUGGAACUGAGACACGGUCCAGACUCCUACGGGAGGCAGCAGUAGGGAAUCUUCCGCAAUGGGCGAAAGCUUGACGGAGCAACGCCGCGUGAGUGAUGAAGGUCUUCGGAUCGUAAAACUCUGUUAUUAGGGAAGAACAAAUGUGUAAGUAACUAUGCACGUCUUGACGGUACCUAAUCAGAAAGCCACGGCUAACUACGUG